rnacentral:rRNA from 1 species
GACGAACGCUGGCGGCGUGCCUAAUACAUGCAAGUCGAGCGAGAAAGUCCAAACCCGCAGGGGGGAGGGCGAGUACAGCGGCGAACUGGUGAGUAACACGUGAUCAACCUACCUCUCCGACAGGGACAACCUUUGGAAGCAAAGGCUAAUACCUGAUGGCGUUGCUUGCCCACAAGGGCGAGCAAAUAAAGGGGCGUUUGCUCCGCGGGGAGAUGGGGUUGCGGCCCAUCAGCUAGUUGGUAGGGUAACGGCCUACCAAGGCGAUGACGGGUAGGGGGCCUGAGAGGGCGACCCCCCACAUGGGGACUGAGAUACGGCCCUGACUCCUACGGGAGGCAGCAGUAGGGAAUCUUCCACAAUGGACGAAAGUCUGAUGGAGCAACGCCGCGUGAGUGAUGAAGGCCUUCGGGUCGUAAAGCUCUGUUGUUAGGGAAGAACAAGUACCGGAGUAACUGCCGGUACCUUGACGGUACCUAACCAGAAAGCCACGGCUAACUACGUGCCAGCCGCCGCCGUAACAC